rnacentral:rRNA from 1 species
GGGUUGUGAGGUUAAGCGACUAAGCGUACACGGUGGAUGCCCUGGCAGUCAGAGGCGAUGAAGGACGUGCUAAUCUGCGAAAAGCGUCGGUAAGGUGAUAUGAACCGUUAUAACCGGCGAUGUCCGAAUGGGGAAACCCAGUGUGAUUCGUCACACUAUCGUUAACUGAAUACAUAGGUUAACGAGGCGAACCGGGGGAACUGAAACAUCUAAGUACCCCGAGGAAAAGAAAUCAACCGAGAUUCCCCCAGUAGCGGCGAGCGAACGGGGAGCAGCCCAGAGUCUGAAUCAGCUUGUGUGUUAGUGGAACGGUCUGGAAAGUCCGACGGUACAGGGUGAUAGUCCCGUACACCAAAAUGCACAGGCUGUGAACUCGAAGAGUAGGGCGGGACACGUGGUAUCCUGUCUGAAUAUGGGGGGACCAUCCUCCAAGGC